AAUAUGCGACAAUGGGGGCAACCCUGAUCCAGCCAGGCCGCGUGUGUGAAGAAGUUCUUCGGAUUGUAAACCAUUUUAAGUUGGGAGGAAGGGCUUUAGGUGAGUACCUUGAAGUUUUGACGUUACCAACAGAAUAGUCCCCGGCUAACUCUGUCCCAGCAGCCGCGGUAAUACAGAGGGUGCAAGCGUUAAUCGGAAUUACUGGGCGUAAAGCGCGCGUAGGUGGUUCAGUAAGAUGGGUGUGAAAUCCCCGGGCUUAACCUGGGAACUGCUUUCAUAACUGCUGAGCUAGAGUACGGUAGAGGGUAGUGGAAUUUCCUGUGUAGCGGUGAAAUGCGUAGAUAUAGGAAGGAACACCAGUGGCGAAGGCGACUACCUGGACUGAUACUGACACUGAGGUGCGAAAGCGUGGGGAGCAAACA
rnacentral:rRNA from 1 species